CAACAGUUGGAAACGACUGCUAAUACCGCAUAAGCCCACGGUGCCGCAUGGCACAGAGGGAAAAGGAGCAAUCCGCUUUGAGAUGGCCUCGCGUCCGAUUAGCUAGUUGGUGAGGUAAUGGCCCACCAAGGCAACGAUCGGUAGCCGGACUGAGAGGUUGAACGGCCACAUUGGGACUGAGACACGGCCCAGACUCCUACGGGAGGCAGCAGUGGGGAAUAUUGCACAAUGGGGGAAACCCUGAUGCAGCGACGCCGCGUGGAGGAAGAAGGUCUUCGGAUUGUAAACUCCUGUUGUUGGGGAAGAUAAUGACGGUACCCAACAAGGAAGUGACGGCUAACUACGUGCCAGCAGCCGCGGUAAAACGUAGGUCACAAGCGUUGUCCGGAAUUACUGGGUGUAAAGGGAGCGCAGGCGGGAAGACAAGUUGGAAGUGAAAUCUAUGGGCUCAACCCAUAAACUGCUUUCAAAACUGUUUUUCUUGAGUAGUGCAGAGGUAGGCGGAAUUCCCGGUGUAGCGGUGGAAUGCGUAGAUAUCGGGAGGAACACCAGUGGCGAAGGCGGCCUACUGGGCACCAACUGACGCUGAGGCUCGAAAGUGUGGGUAGCAAACAGGAUUAGAUACCCUGGUAGUCCACACCGU
rnacentral:rRNA from 1 species